CCUGCGCACUUUCCUUCGCCGAGGCCGCGCCCUACGCCAGCCGGAAGGACGUAUAAAGGCUCGCGCCGGCGCCGUGCGGUCCCUUAGUGUCCGUGGGUUUGUUGUCUCUUCAGGUUCCCCUGGAUCUGGAUGUGGCCGCCGCCUCCCGCAAGAAUGGCAGGGUUCGUGUGUCUCUUUUUCUCAAAUAAAAUGAUUUAACUGAA